ACGGGUGAGUAAUGUCUGGGGAUCUGCCCGAUAGAGGGGGAUAACCACUGGAAACGGUGGCUAAUACCGCAUAACGUCGCAAGACCAAAGAGGGGGACCUUCGGGCCUCUCACUAUCGGAUGAACCCAGAUGGGAUUAGCUAGUAGGCGGGGUAACGGCCCACCUAGGCGACGAUCCCUAGCUGGUCUGAGAGGAUGACCAGCCACACUGGAACUGAGACACGGUCCAGACUCCUACGGGAGGCAGCAGUGGGGAAUAUUGCACAAUGGGCGCAAGCCUGAUGCAGCCAUGCCGCGUGUAUGAAGAAGGCCUUCGGGUUGUAAAGUACUUUCAGCGGGGAGGAAGGCGAUGUGGUUAAUAACCGCGUCGAUUGACGUUACCCGCAGAAGAAGCACCGGCUAACUCCGUGCCAGCAGCCGCGGUAAUACGGAGGGUGCAAGCGUUAAUCGGAAUUACUGGGCGUAAAGCGCACGCAGGCGGUCUGUUAAGUCAGAUGUGAAAUCCCCGGGCUUAACCUGGGAACUGCAUUUGAAACUGGCAGGCUUGAGUCUCGUAGAGGGGGGUAGAAUUCCAGGUGUAGCGG
rnacentral:rRNA from 1 species